rfam:Kytococcus sp. HMSC28H12 Kytococcus_spHMPREF3099-1.0_Cont100.1, whole genome shotgun sequence.
ACUGUAUCCAGAGCGGUGGAGAGAUCUGGCUCUUUGAAACCGCAGCAACCCCCCGUCGCGGGCGAGGGUGCUAACGCCAGAUGCGAUGGAGG